CCUCCUGGUCCAGACUGUGUCUCCACUCCUUCUGCUCAGAGGGAACCUCUUGUUUACUCCCCUGCAGCUGCUGAACGUCUUCAUGACUCACUGAAACACAGACACAAUGAGGAAAACUAAACCACACAGACGGGGCUAAAGGAAAGGAAGAAGCUGAAUAAAAGAGAGGACAGUUUGAUCUCAGUGAGACGACUUGAUUAAAUAACAGAGGUGUACAUCCCUCCAAUAGAGUUCCACAGACUUGGAGCCCUGAAGCUGUUCUGGACUCCAGACUGAGACGCUUCAUGUUGCUUUCUCCUUGCAUUUGUCACGUAUGUAUAUCGACAACUGUACACCCAGUCAGCCACUUUAAUUUGUGAUAAAGUUUUUUCUGACAGAAA